rnacentral:rRNA from 1 species
AAGGUAACGUCAAUUCAGUUGCUUAUUAACCAACUGACCUUCUUCUCUUUUGAAAGUGCUUUACAACCCUCGGGCCUUCUUCACACACGCGGCAUUGCUGGAUCAGGGUUGCCCCCAUUGUCCAAUAUUCCCC